rnacentral:lncRNA from 1 species
AAAAUCACCACAACUGAGAACUGCUGAUGUAAUUAAUACAUCUCCUUUGACAUCAAUAAUAAGUAAAGGAUGACAUCAAUAAUAAGUAAAUGCUAAUACGCAUAGCAACAAUCACAAUGGAUGGAAUUGCUCAGAAAUUUCAGGAAUUCUGUCAUAUUUUUGUCCAGGAAAGCUACUGGUACCCAGAUGUACAACUUCUAGUCCCAGAAUUGAUGUUAAUUCCAUGUUGACUUCUUUUUUAAAACCAAUAUCAGCACAUCCUAUACUAUAGUCCCCCCUAUAGUUCAAGUUGCCAAGAACAGAAAAAAAUCACUGCUACAGUCCUGGGAGCAGAUGAUGAUACUUCAAAUCUACAAAUGAAAAGCUGAAGUAAGAGAUAUUAAGAGACUGGCCAAAAAUUGUGCAUUAUUAAGUACCAGAAAUAUGAUUAGAACAGGUGUUCUACUGACCUAUUGGUUGCUGGUUGUUCAAUUAAUUGGUUAAUUCUAUUCUGAAAUAUAAAUAUAUUUUAUUCAACAAAUAUAUUGAGGGACUCAUAC